UGGAGGGCAAGUCUGGUGCCAGCAGCCGCGGUAAUUCCAGCUCCAAUAGCGUAUAUUAAAGUUGUUGCAGUUAAAAAACUCGUAGUUGAAUUUCGGGGUUCUACCGUUGGUCGGGCUUUGUCUGUACUGGUGUGUAGAAUUUCUACCUUCUGGGGAACCAUCAUGCUAUUAAUUUAGCGUGGUGGGAAACCAGGACCUUUACCUUGAAAAAAUUAGUGUGUUCAAAGCAGGCUUAUGUCUGAAUACAUUAGCGUGGAAUAAUAGAAUAGGACGGUGGUCCUGUUUUGUUGGUUUCUGAAUCACCGUAAUGAUUAAUAGGGAUAGUUGGGGGCAUUAGUAUUCAAUUGUCAGAGGUGAAAUUCUUGGAUUUAUUGAAGACUAACUUCUGCGAAAGCAUUUGCCAAGGAUGUUUUCAUUAAUCAAGAACGAAAGUUAGGGGAUCGAAGACGAUCAGAUACCGUCGUAGUCUUAACCAUAAACUAUGCCGACUAGGGAUCGGACGAUGUUAAUUUUUCUUGACUCGUUCGGCGCCUUACGGGAAAC
rnacentral:rRNA from 1 species